rnacentral:rRNA from 1 species
GACGAACGCUGGCGGCGUGCCUAAUACAUGCAAGUUGAGCGCUGAAGGUUGGUACUUGUACCAACUGGAUGAGCAGCGAACGGGUGAGUAACGCGUGGGGAAUCUGCCUUUGAGCGGGGGACAACAUUUGGAAACGAAUGCUAAUACCGCAUAAAAACUUUAAACACAAGUUUUAAGUUUGAAAGAUGCAAUUGCCUCACUCAAAGAUGAUCCCGCGUUGUAUUAGCUAGUUGGUGAGGUAAAGGCUCACCAAGGCGAUGAUACAUAGCCGACCUGAGAGGGUGAUCGGCCACAUUGGGACUGAGACACGGCCCAAACUCCUACGGGAGGCAGCAGUAGGGAAUCUUCGGCAAUGGACGAAAGUCUGACCGAGCAACGCCGCGGGAGUGAAGAAGGGUUUCGGAUCGUAAAACUCUGUUGGUAGAGAAGAACGUUGGUGAGAGUGGAAAGCUCAUCAAGUGACGGUAACUACACAGAAAGGGACGGCUAACUACGUG